UACGGGGGGGGCAAGCGUUGUUCGGAAUUACUGGGCGUAAAGGGUUCGUAGGUGGCCCGCUAAGUCAGACGUGAAAUCCCUCAGCUCAACUGGGGAACUGCGUCCGAUACUGGUGGGCUUGAAUCCGGGAGAGGGAUGCGGAAUUCCAGGUGUAGCGGUGAAAUGCGUAGAUAUCUGGAGGAAUACCGGUGGCGAAGGCGGCAUCCUGGACCGACAUUGACGCUGAACGGCGAAAGCUAGGGGAGCAAACGGG
rnacentral:rRNA from 1 species